rnacentral:tRNA from 1 species
GGGGAUAUAGCUCAGCUGGGAGAGCGCUUGAAUGGCAUUCAAGAGGUCAGCGGUUCGAACCCGCUUAUCUCCA